rnacentral:rRNA from 1 species
GUGGCGAACGGGUGAGUAACACGUGGGCAACCUGCCCCCGGCUCUGGGAUAACUCCAAGAAAUUGGGGCUAAUACCGGAUGUUCACCGCUGCCUGCAUGGGUGGUGGUGGAAAGGGUUUCCGGCUGGGGAUGGGCCCGCGGCCUAUCAGCUUGUUGGUGGGGUAGAGGCCUACCAAGGCGACGACGGGUAGCCGGCCUGAGAGGGUGACCGGCCACACUGGGACUGAGACACGGCCCAGACUCCUACGGGAGGCAGCAGUGGGGAAUAUUGCGCAAUGGGCGGAAGCCUGACGCAGCGACGCCGCGUGGGGGAUGACGGCCUUCGGGUUGUAAACCUCUUUCAGCAGGGACGAAGCGCAAGUGACGGUACCUGCAGAAGAAGCACCGGCCAACUACGUGCCAGCAGCCGCGGUAAUACGUAGGGUGCAAGCGUUGUCCGGAAUUAUUGGGCGUAAAGAGCUCGUAGGCGGUUCGUCGCGUCGGCUGUGAAAACCCGGAGCUCAACUCCGGGCCUGCAGUCGAUACGGGCGGACUUGAGUUCGGCAGGGGAGACUGGAAUUCCUGGUGUAGCGGUGAAAUGCGCAGAUAUCAGGAGGAACACCGGUGGCGAAGGCGGGUCUCUGGGCCGAAACUGACGCUGA